rnacentral:rRNA from 1 species
AAUCAACGCUGGCGGCGUGCCUAACACAUGCAAGUCGAACGCGAGAGGGGCUUCGGCCCCGAUUGAGUGGCGAACGGGUGAGUAACGCGUGGGUGACCUACCUUCGAGUGGGGGAUAACGUCCCGAAAGGGACGCUAAUACCGCAUAACAUCCUGCUUUUGAAUGGGUGGAGAUCAAAGCCGGGGAUCGCAAGACCUGGCGCUUGAUGAGGGGCCCGCGUCUGAUUAGCUAGUUGGGAGGUAACGGCCCACCAAGGCAACGAUCAGUAUCCGGCCUGAGAGGGCGGACGGACACACUGGGACUGAGACACGGCCCAGACUCCUACGGGAGGCAGCAGUGGGGAAUUGUUCGCAAUGGGCGCAAGCCUGACGACGCAACGCCGCGUGGAGGA